UACGCUGAUGAAAUUAUUCUA
rnacentral:piRNA from 1 species